GCCUGGGUGGCUCAGUCGGUUGAGCGUCUGACUUCGGCUCAGGUCAUGAUCCCGCGGUUCGUGGGUUCGAGCCCCGCGUCGGGCU
rfam:Felis catus isolate Cinnamon breed Abyssinian chromosome D4, whole genome shotgun sequence.